UAGGGAAUCUUCCACAAUGGACGCAAGUCUGAUGGAGCAACGCCGCGUGAGUGAAGAAGGCUUUCGGGUCGUAAAACUCUGUUAUUGAAGAAGAACGUGUGUGACAGUAACUGGUCAUGCAGUGACGGUAUUCAAUCAGAAAGUCACGGCUAACUACGUGCCAGCAGCCGCGGUAAUACGUAGGUGGCAAGCGUUGUCCGGAUUUAUUGCGCGUAAAGCGAGUGCAGGCGGUCUUUUAAGUCUGAUGUGAAAGCCUUCGGCUUAACCGAAGAAGGGCAUCGGAAACUGGGAGACUUGAGUGC
rnacentral:rRNA from 1 species